rnacentral:tRNA from 1 species
GCCUGGGUGGCUCAGUCGGUUGAGCGUCCAACUUCAGCUCAGGUCCUAAGCUCAGUUUUGUGAGUUCAAGUCCCACCUCGGGCU